rnacentral:rRNA from 1 species
GACGAACGCUGGCGGCAGGCCUAACACAUGCAAGUCGAACGCUCCGCAAGGGGAGUGGCGCACGGGUGAGUAACACGUGGGAACCUACCUUCUGGUACGGAACAACCAAGGGAAACUUUGGCUAAGACCGUAUACGACCUCCGGGUGAAAGAUUGAUCGCCGGAAGAGGGGCCCGCGUCCGAUUAGGUAGUUGGUGAGGUAACGGCUCACCAAGCCUUCGAUCGGUAGCUGGUCUGAGAGGAUGACCAGCCACACUGGGACUGAGACACGGCCCAGACUCCUACGGGAGGCAGCAGUGGGGAAUAUUGGACAAUGGGCGCAAGCCUGAUCCAGCCAUGCCGCGUGAGUGAUGAAGGCC